rnacentral:rRNA from 1 species
GGGAACUACGAGCAUAAGCUUUAAACCCAAAGGACUUGGCGGUGCUUUAGACCCCCCUAGAGGAGCCUGUUCUAGAACCGAUAACCCCCGUUAGACCUCACCUUUUCUUGUAUUUUUUCCGCCUAUAUACCGCCGUCCUCAGCUUACCCUGUGAGGGAGAAAUAGUAAGCAAAACUGGUAAAACCCAAAACGCCAGGUCGAGGUGUAGCAUACGAAAAGGAAAGAAAUGGGCUACAUUUCCUUGCCCUAGGAAACACGAAUUGUGCUAUGAAAUAACACAUGAAGGUGGAUUUAGCAGUAAGCAGAAAACAGAGAGUUCCGCUGAAACCGGCCCUGAAGCGCGCACACACCGCCCGUCACUCUCCCCAAGUUCUUCAACAUUAAUAACUAAUACUCCACUAGAACAAAGGGGAGGCAAGUCGUAACAUGGUAAGUGUACCGGAAGGUGCGCUUGGAAAAAC